rnacentral:rRNA from 1 species
GAUGAACGCUGGCGGCGUGCCUAAUACAUGCAAGUCGAGCGAACAGACGAGGAGCUUGCUCCUCUGACGUUAGCGGCGGACGGGUGAGUAACACGUGGAUAACCUACCUAUAAGACUGGGAUAACUUCGGGAAACCGGAGCUAAUACCGGAUAAUAUAUUGAACCGCAUGGUUCAAUAGUGAAAGACGGUUUUGCUGUCACUUAUAGAUGGAUCCGCGCCGCAUUAGCUAGUUGGUAAGGUAACGGCUUACCAAGGCAACGAUGCGUAGCCGACCUGAGAGGAUGAGCAGCAACACUGGAACAGAGACACGGGCCAGACGAAUACGGGAGGCAGAAGUGGGGAAUAUUGAGCAAUGGGCGAAAGAUUGACGGAGCAACGUAGAGUGGGUGAUGAAGGUCUUCGGAUCGUAAAACUCUGUUAUUGGGGAAGAAAAAAAGUGGAAGAAACAAUGGACGUCUUGACGGUACCUAAACAGAAAGAAACGGCUAACUACGUG